UGAACCUGGGAUGGAUGGGAGGGUGUUCAGAUAAGUAUGGCUGAGACCAAUCUCCAACCAGAGGCCUGGGCUCUCAUAAUAGAGGUCAAACCACCACCCGCCGGCCAGCUCACAAAAUGGCUCACGUCCUCAGCACAGCUCUCUGAGACCAGCCAUAUCUGCCUUCAACAUGACUCAUAUGGUACUACUACUGUAGCUUCCAGUGGCCCAUGAACCAGCAUCUGCCUGCUUCUUGAAUUCCUCCUCCCCCAUCCCUUCUGUUCAUCUUCCUCUGCCAGGAAGGCCUGCCAGGGCUGCCCUGAGCUUCCUGGUCUGGACCUUGCAUUCCCCUCCCUGGAGUGAGCCAGGACAGGACAGGGCACCGGUUUCUGCUCCUCACCAGGGGUGUCUCAUUUCACAAGGAGGACCCAUCAUAGCCCCCCGCAUUCCGAAGAACCUACCAUGUUCUAUAAGGGGGAAUGGUGCGAGCCCUCCAAGCCCCCACCAAGGAGUCACCCCAGAGGCCAGAAGCUCUCCUGUGAUCCCCCUCAGAAGGCGGAGGACUGCACCAGGAGUCUUGGGACCCCUCUCCUCCAUGCAGCCAAGAGUAUCCUCAGAUGACUGUGCUGAUGUGCACACACAAGGACAUGCAUGUGUGAAGGCCAGACGAUCUCAGGUGACAUUUCCUCAGGUACCAUCCGCCCUUUUAUUUUUGAGACAGGGUAGAUAUGGGUGUAUAUUACAGUGUGUGCAUAUGUGGGUGCAUAUGUGUGUUAGU